UACGUAGGGUGCGAGCGUUGUCCGGAAUUAUUGGGCGUAAAGGGCUCGUAGGCGGUUUGUCGCGUCGGGAGUGAAAUCCACUGGCUUAACUGGUGGCUUGCUUUCGAUACGGGCAGACUGGGAGUAUGCAGGGGAGAACGGAAUUCCUGGUGUAGCGGUAGAAAUGCGCAGAUAUCAGGAGGAACACCGAUGGCGAAGGCAGGUCUCUGGGCCACUACUGACGCUGAGAAGCGAAAGCAUGGGGAGCGAACAGG
rnacentral:rRNA from 1 species